UACAGAGGUCCCAAGCGUUGUUCGGAUUCACUGGGCGUAAAGGGUGCGUAGGUGGCGAGGUAAGUCGGAUGUGAAAUCUCCGAGCUCAACUCGGAAAUGGCAUUGGAAACUACCUUGCUUGAGGGUCGGAGGGGGGACUGGAAUUCUCGGUGUAGCAGUGAAAUGCGUAGAUAUCUGGAGGAACACCGGUGGCGAAGGCGGCAUCCUGGACCGACACUGACACUGAGGAGCGAAAGCCAGGGGAGCAAACGGG
rnacentral:rRNA from 1 species